UACAGAGGUCUCAAGCGUUGUUCGGAUUCAUUGGGCGUAAAGGGUGCGUAGGCGGCGGGGCAAGUCUGAUGUGAAAUCCCGGGGCUCAACCCCGGAACUGCAUUGGAUACUGCUUUGCUUGAGUACUGGAGAGGGAACUGGAAUUUACGGUGUAGCAGUGAAAUGCGUAGAGAUCGUAAGGAAGGCCAGUGGCGAAGGCGAGUUCCUGGACAGUUACUGACGCUGAGGCACGAAGGCCAGGGGAGCAAACGGG
rnacentral:rRNA from 1 species